rnacentral:rRNA from 1 species
GUUAUACAUGCCCUACAAGUAGGAGUCAGGUUUUAAACCUAAUGGCUCUUUCAUGAUUAUAUGAUAGGUGGUGCAUGGCCGUUCUUAGUUCGUGGAGUGAUCUGUCUGCUUAAUUGCGUUUCAAAAUUUAACUUGAGGACCGGGUUUUGGUUUGGCUAGUGGUUCUACGAUGACUGUGAACUGUCAUGUCUUCGGAUGUGCGACUAUUGGUCUAGGAUCACAUGACUUGCCCCUGGGACUCUUUUGAACGCAACGGACGUGAUUGCAACCCCUUGUUGAGAUUAGAGAUAGUCUCGAUAUUCACUGGACAAACUGGCUGCUUUAUGCAGUCUUGUUGAAUGGUGGAUAAACUCGGGGGACUGCUGACUAUAACCAUUUCUCAAAACAGAGGAAGGUUGCGGCAAUAACAGGUCUGUGAUGCCCUCAGAUGUCCCGGGCUGCACACGUGCUACAAUGAGUGGCGCAAUGUGCUAAUGUUUAAGGGAUAAGAGUGUGGUCAGUAGAACGUCGGGAUUUCCCCUGACGUCUCCCCCGCACGAUUAUCAGCCUUCCCUUAACAGGGCGGGCAACCUUUUCAAAAUACUGGUUUGAUGUUAAAGUAUUGAGUCGUUUUUUUUGGAUGGUGGUUUGUUAACCAAUACCAUCCGGCAACUGCUCGCGAGUUUGUGGUUCUGGCGACUCAUGGUGGGGACCGACGUUUGUAAUUUUUUGUCGCGUGUUAACUAGGAAUGCCUUGUACUGUCGAUUCACUAAGUUACUGGGAAUACGUCCCUGCCCUUUGUACACACCGCCCGUCGCUCUUACCG